UAGGGAAUCUUCCACAAUGGGCGAAAGCCUGAUGGAGCAACGCCGCGUGAGUGAGGAAGGCUUUCGGGUCGUAAAGCUCUGUUGCCAGGGAAGAAUAAGGAUCAUUUAACUGAUGAUCCGAUGACGGUACCUGAGAAGAAAGCCCCGGCUAACUACGUGCCAGCAGCCGCGGUAAUACGUAGGGGGCAAGCGUUGUCCGGAAUUAUUGGGCGUAAAGCGCGCGCAGGCGGCUCUUUAAGUCUGGUGUUUAAGUGCGGGGCUCAACCCCGUGACGCACUGGAAACUGGGGAGCUUGAGUGCAGAAGAGGAGAGCGGAAUUCCACGUGUAGCGGUGAAAUGCGUAGAGAUGUGGAGGAACACCAGUGGCGAAGGCGGCUCUCUGGACUGUAACUGACGCUGAGGCGCGAAAGCGUGGGGAGCAAACAGGAUUAGAUACCCUGGUAGUCCACGCCGUAAACGAUGAGUGCUAGGUGUUGGGGGUAUCAUGCCCUCGGUGCCGAAGUUAACACAUUAAGCACUCCGCCCUGGGGAGUACGGUCGCAAGACUGAAACUCAAAGGAAUUGACGGGGGUCAU
rnacentral:rRNA from 1 species